rnacentral:rRNA from 1 species
UGGGGAAUAUUGCACAAUGGGCGCAAGCCUGAUGCAGCAACGCCGCGUGAGGGACGACGGCCUUCGGGUUGUAAACCUCUUUUAGUAGGGAAGAAGCGAAAGUGACGGUACCUGCAGAAAAAGCACCGGCUAACUACGUGCCAGCAGCCGCGGUAAUACGUAGGGUGCAAGCGUUAUCCGGAAUUAUUGGGCGUAAAGAGCUCGUAGGCGGUUUGUCGCGUCUGCUGUGAAAACUGGAGGCUCAACCUCCAGCCUGCAGUGGGUACGGGCAGACUAGAGUGCGGUAGGGGAGAUUGGAAUUCCUGGUGUAGCGGUGGAAUGCGCAGAUAUCAGGAGGAACACCGAUGGCGAAGGCAGAUCUCUGGGCCGUAACUGACGCUGAGGAGCGAAAGCAUGGGGAGCGAACAGGAUUAGAUACCC